CCAAGGCUAAAUACUCCUGACUGACCGAUAGUGAACCAGUACCGUGAGGGAAAGGCGAAAAGAACCCCGGCGAGGGGAGUGAAAAAGAACCUGAAACCGUGUACGUACAAGCAGUGGGAGCACGCUUAGGCGUGUGACUGCGUACCUUUUGUAUAAUGGGUCAGCGACUUAUAUUCUGUAGCAAGGUUAACCGAAUAGGGGAGCCGAAGGGAAACCGAGUCUUAACUGGGCGUUAAGUUGCAGGGUAUAGACCCG
rnacentral:rRNA from 2 species